rnacentral:rRNA from 1 species
UACGUAGGGGGCAAGCGUUAUCCGGAUUUAUUGGGUUUAAAGGGUGCGCAGGCGGAAGAUUAAGUCGGCGGUGAAAUUUUGCAGCUCAACUGUAAAAGUGCCAUCGAUACUGGUUUUCUUGAGUGUAGAUGAAGUAGGCGGAAUUUGUGGUGUAGCGGUGAAAUGCUUAGAUAUCACGAGGAACUCCGAUUGCGCAGGCAGCUUACUAAACUACUACUGACGCUCAGGCACGAAGGCGUGGGGAUCAAACAGGAUUAGAUACCCGGGUAGUCCCU